AUUGAACGCUGGCGGCAUGCCUUACACAUGCAAGUCGAACGGUAACAGGUUAAGCUGACGAGUGGCGAACGGGUGAGUAAUGUAUCGGAACGUGCCCAGUCGUGGGGGAUAACUGCUCGAAAGAGCAGCUAAUACCGCAUACGACCUGAGGGUGAAAGCGGGGGAUCGCAAGACCUCGCGCGAUUGGAGCGGCCGAUACCAGAUUAGGUAGUUGGUGAGGUAAAGGCUCACCAAGCCGACGAUCUGUAGCUGGUCUGAGAGGACGACCAGCCACACUGGGACUGAGACACGGCCCAGACUCCUACGGGAGGCAGCAGUGGGGAAUUUUGGACAAUGGGCGCAAGCCUGAUCCAGCCAUGCCGCGUGCGGGAAGAAGGCCUUCGGGUUGUAAACCGCUUUUGUCAGGGAAGAAAAGGUUCUGGCUAAUACCUGGGACUCAUGACGGUACCUGAAGAAUAAGCACCGGCUAACUACGAG
rnacentral:rRNA from 1 species